CGGACUACAGAGGCAGUCGCAGCCUCCCACAACCGCUGACAAGAUGGCGGACUCCACGGAAGUGACGGCAGCACCUUCCGGGGCCGAGCAGGCCAAUCCCCGUGGCGGAGCGUGGCGGCGCUGGGCGGGAGAAUGCCCCUCUGCCUCUGAUCCUUUUUGGUGGUGAUGCUGAAACCUUUACAGCUGCGAACCAGGAAGCCAUUUGCUCAAAAUGAGAUUUUCUUUCCUCAAGCAUGCCAGCUGGUCUUUAUACAGAACAGAGCCAAAACAAAACAAACACAUGCUUGAACAAGGAGGACUGCAAGGAACUAUAUAUAUAACAAUAAAAAAGUAAGAGGAUGGUGCUGUAUGCAAGA